rnacentral:rRNA from 1 species
CCUACGGGUGGCAGCAGUGGGGAAUAUUGCGCAAUGGGCGAAAGCCUGAACCAGCCAAGUCGCGUGAAGGAUGACUGCCCUAUGGGUUGUAAACUUCUUUUAUAUGGGAAUAAAAUGUUCCACGUGUGGGAUUUUGUAUGUACCAUAUGAAUAAGGAUCGGCUAACUCCGUGCCAGCAGCCGCGGUAAUACGGAGGAUCCGAGCGUUAUCCGGAUUUAUUGGGUUUAAAGGGAGCGUAGGUGGAUUGUUAAGUCAGUUGUGAAAGUGUGCGGCUCAACCGUAAAAUUGCAGUUGAAACUGGCAUUCUUGAGUACAGUAGAGGUGGGCGGAAUGCGUGGUGUAGCGGUGAAAUGCAUAGAUAUCACGAAGAACUCCGAUUGCGAAGGCAGCACACUGGACGGCAACUGACACUGAGGCACGAAAGUGUGGGUAUCAAACAGGAUUAGAUACCCUUGUAGUC